UACGAAGGAUCCAAGCGUUAUCCGGAUUCAUUGGGUUUAAAGGGUGCGUAGGCGGUUUUGUAAGUCAGUGGUGAAAUCUCCUUGCUUAACAAGGAAACUGCCAUUGAUACUGCAGAACUAGAGUACAGAUGACGUUGGCGGAAUGUGUCAUGUAGCGGUGAAAUGCAUAGAUAUGACACAGAACACCGAUUGCGAAGGCAGCUGACGAAACUGCAACUGACGCUGAUGCACGAAAGUGCGGGGAUCAAACAGG
rnacentral:rRNA from 1 species